rnacentral:tRNA from 1 species
GGGGGGGUAGUUUAAUUGGAAAAACGUAAGAUUCAUAACCUUAAGUUGCGGGUUCGAGCCCCGUCCCCUCCACC